rnacentral:lncRNA from 1 species
UCAUGCUUGUGAAAAUGAAGGAUAGUUGUGCCUGCACUACAAGAAGGGUGAUUUAGGCAAAAGUGUUCAUCAGACAACAAGAACUUGAUCUUCCCAUUUGCCACAAGCUGGUCCUUGGUCUGGAAAAGUAGCUGCAGGAUACUGCCUGCUGAAGGAGCAUAGGAUUUAGGAUCUCUCAGCACCACAGUACCAAGAGUUUGGGACACACCAAAGCUUUUAUGUUGCAUCUAAUGACCUCCUUUGGGCAAGCAUGUAAGGAUCUUCCGCAGAGCUGCCCUCAAGACUACGUGUUGGAAAAACGACAUCAGAUGCCAUGCAGCAAACAUGACAAGAGUAUGAAUUAGCGGAAAGCUUCCCUGGGGA